rnacentral:tRNA from 1 species
GGGCCCGUAGCUUAGUCUGGUUAGAGCGCUCGGCUCAUAACCGAGUGGCCACCGGUUCAAAUCCGGUCGGGCCCACCA